CCCUCCCCUUCCCACUGCACUGCCACAACUCCUGCUUCACUUAGGAACACUUCACGAAGAUUGAUUUGCUUCGAUAGCACCGCCCGGACAUUUGGGGGGGCUUGCACCGAAUUUGCGCAUCUGGCCCACUACUCUACAGGAAAAGCCGCACACAACCUCUGCAAAUAGAAGCAAACUGUCAGGGACUGUACUGUGGAGAUGCUGUGUUUGGAGGAGAAGUUUUGGGUAACCACGGAAUUGGCUGCUGCAAUUGCAAAUGGAAAUUGUGGAAGAUACUCAAGAGCUCCCACCUGUACAGAUUCCAGCAGCUGGGGAAAAAGAAUUGGAAGAAUAAAACGCUCUGUCAGUUCACUUGACACUCUCAGCCUCCAGUUUAGAUACUAGCACACUAUGACUUAAACGAUAGUUUUCAACUGGCAUUUAUACAUUACAUGGCAUAACUAGACUGUUAACGUUCCCAGCCAGAAUUGUUUGUGUCCCAGCCCUCAAGGAAGGUGAGGUCACAUGAAGUCUACUCCAGAGGACUUGGGUGAGGAUUUUCAUGGGAUAGCCUGUGAGCAAAGCCAUGUUCACAUUGAAAUGCACAGACCAUUGGCAGGUCUACCAGGAAACUGGAUGAAAUGUAAGAAUUUGGGACACUAUUUUCAACCGUGCAUUACUUUGUGCGGAGGUUGAAGCUCCUAUUUUUCAAUAUGGAAGUGGUGGCCAGAUCCAUGUAAAUGCUAAGGGACCCAACUAUGGUGCAGUAACUUAUCUGCUUUUGGCUUCCAGGCAGAAUACAUCCACGUUAUGAAUUCCAUAGUGAAGGAUCAACCUUAAUGCCAUGGAUGUUCAGGCUAUUAGCCUUAUUGCCAUGGAUUCUAGUGACGCUACAAUAUUCCAGCAAUUGUCCUUCAGAUUACUAGGAUGUUGACACUCUGCUCUGAGGAAGUUGAUGUGGUUCAGUGGAUUGUGAAUCUGCUGUCUUUCUCUCAGGAAGAUGGCAUUUAUGCUUUCAUCACUGUCACUUCAAGAUUGCUCUCUCUACUGCCCAUUAAGUAGUUAGCCCAGAUUGCUGCAAUUCAUAAAGAGAUGGUAUGAUCUGAAGCCAAGCUAAGCAGAACUAGAUUUGUUGAAGAAAAUUCUUCAUAUCAUCUCUGCUGUAAGGGAGCAGCCAUUUAUCUGUGUGUCAGAAGCCUCUAAGAGAUAGGGCAGGUUAAGGCAUACUGAAAACAGGCAGUAAGGACAUGAACAAUGAUGGUAUGGUUUUGCUACCGAUUAGGGCUAUACUUUUUUGGCUAUAUAAUGAUUUUGGUUGAUUCUUGUGUUCACGAUUUGUACUUAAAUCAACACUGAGUUGAUGAGCAACAGAUGGGUGCCAAUGGAAGAAUCAUAAAAUGAGAUCUGUGAUGCAUUGCCAUUGAAUGUGAAGAAAAGUUGACUUCCUGACCUGCGCCUCGGCACUGUUAGGUGGGCAGCUACAACAUUAUGAACAAGCAUACAGGAAUGAUCAAAAAUAAUAACUAAUUAUGAUGGCUUGUGAAUUUGAGGUUCACUUGCAGAUAGUAGAGUGCUGCCAUUGAAGUCUUGAAGAGUUUUUAAACGUUCAUUUUGCAGACAACUUGCAUGCAACCCAAAUUGUGCCAGUGGUGUGGGUGGGUGCAGCAAUCAAGGGAGUUGCUUUGCCAUGAAUUAAUUAAACUUUCUCACUGUUUUUUGGGAUACACAAAGGAAGGCAAUAAUGAAAAUGCUUUGCAACAGUACUUAAUUAACCCCUUCCUAGAGAAUGGGAAACCUCAAAAGUGCUUUUGCAGGCAUUUUGUCUGUUUUACGUUACUUUUUGUUCAGCAUUGGUUCCUAGAAGGUUUAAGAUGAUGUUGAUAAAUGUCAGGGGGAAAUGAUUGGAUGACUCUUGUUGGAAGUGGUUAGUACUAGGCGUGUGUAGGCUGAUGGUAUUCAUCUUCUCAAGUUUAACUGUUGGCUAGAUAUUGCAGUACUCAAGCAUAGUUUUCCCUUUUGUCUUCGUCUUUAUGCAGUGGAGUGAGCUCCUCAGCUGAACUGCAGGGAGCUGAUGAUGCACCUUGAGAGGACAUCCAGAAAGAAGGAUCUCUUCAUCAUUACAUGCCUUAAUCUUCUUAUUCCUUUCCCUUCUCAUCUUUUUCUACUCCUCUUGCUGCUGCAGAGUGGUCAAAAGCCAUGACAGUGCAGCAAAAUAAGCAGAUGAAACAAAUGCAAGAGAUCCUGUAUGGAAUAUGCUGCACAGUGUUCCAGCCCCUCCCAGUCCCUCUGUCAGUUUAGUCAAUAAAAUCUCCCUUUGACAACACAUAUGGUUGUUAGUUUUGUCAUUUUUGCACUGAUAAUAAUUGCCCCCUGUAGUACUUCCAGGAGCCUGGAUAGAACAUUCAUUUAGUCUGAUGUGGCAGCUGAAAUAUGAUGUGUACAACAACCUGCCUCAGCAUGAAUGAGUCAUACGGGGUUCCCAUGUAUACUAUGUUGACCAUUAAGAUCUUUAAUGCAUGAUAAACAUUUUGUUUGUGAGCAUAUGAAUUCACAUGUGCAGCAUGAAAUGCCAUGUCUGUGCAAUCUAUCACUUCCUGAACCUUUUAGGAGGCAAAUCUGCAUGCCUGGGCUGGCUACUUUCUCAACUUGAGGGAAAAGAGGUGAAUUCCUCUCUCUGCAAUUAGAGAACAUUCAUUAUGUCAUAAAUGCAGAAGUGAGCAGUAAAUUAUGACAUUUGGCAAAGUUAAGUUACCAGCUGCUGAAAUAAUUUGAAAACUGAGGCCACUGAGAUUUGCCUUCACAGGCAGAGUGGUCCAGGCAUGGAUGUGUUGCUAGAGCUUUGCGUACAGCAGAUGGCAGAUCAGAGUGACCAUCCACCUUGGCAUUCAGGCACAUUGCUCCUGUGGAGAUAGAAGAGUUGCUCCUGGUUGACUCAUGGGUGUUAGGUCCUCCUAGGCAGAGUCCUCUUUCUCCACCACCUCCUUUGGCCUCUUCUGUCAAAGGCCUUUAGGCCCACUUCUCCUCUCUUCAAUGGGAUGGUCCAAUGGACCUCUACUAAACCAGCCCUGUACAAAAGAGAAUUGAGGUUUUUACCACUUCAUUGAUGAGCAAAGAAAGAUUCUGUUUAGUAUAAAUAUUGGAUCUCCUGCAGUUCAGAACUUAUUCCCUGUGUGUGGCUGUCACUGAGUUUUGGGUGAAUCUUUUUCCCGGUCACAGCCCAAUGUGCCAGAGUAGAUGCUGAAUAAGUGUUGCGUAACAAUGCCAUCAGUAUAUCCUUUGUGUUGUUUAGGUAUGCACAUGAAACAUGCAUGGAUCUACGUGAUUCAAUGUUGCUGGUAAUAUGAGGAGAGCAAUUGGGUUGCAUUCAUGACUUGCAAAAAGAAUUAUCCACAAAUGGGGAUUUGCAGUGCCAAAGAAGUGGUGCUCUGCAAUGGAACUUCUAUCCUUGGGGCUUUUUUGCAUUGUUUUUUGCAUUAUCUUAAUAUUAGUGGUUAUAAUAGAGAUAAGGCUUCUGACUUAUUUUAAUUUUCAUUUUGUCAUUGUGCUCAUAGAAGAAUAGGAGAAUUGUACAAUAUUUCCAAAUUGUAUUUUCCUAUUAAUAGAAUUUGGAACUAUAGGCCUUAUAAUAUUUUUAACUAUUUUUGAACCAUGUGAUUUUUUCUUGCAACAGGGAUAUCAUAUCCUCUGAUGCUGUAGAAGCUAAGGUUUAGAACUGUUUGGUUUGGAUGCUCCUGGUUCAUAUUUUCAUUUUAUUUAGUAUUGUUGUGAUGUAUAAAAAUAAUUGCUUUGGAUUGCUUGGGUGAACUGAAAUAGAAAUGUUGAACAAUUUGCUUGUUGAUUGAAGUGGCUUAUGAUUUUCAUGUUUAGUAUUAUUCUAUUUGUGAAAAUAAUUUGACUACGAGAUAAUAUGCCAGUAAAGAGCCUUUUGUAGCGGUUGCUACCGCGGAAUAAAACAAGACUCUACUCGGA